rnacentral:rRNA from 1 species
GACGAACGCUGGCGGCGUGCUUAACACAUGCAAGUCGAACGGAAAGGCCCUGCUUUUGUGGGGUGCUCGAGUGGCGAACGGGUGAGUAACACGUGAGUAACCUGCCCUUGACUUUGGGAUAGCUUCAGGAAACUGGGGCUAAUACCGGAUAGGAGCUCCUGCUGCAUGGUGGGGGUUGGAAAGUUUCGGCGGUUGGGGAUGGACUCGCGGCUUAUCAGCUUGUUGGUGGGGUAGUGGCUUACCAAGGCUUUGACGGGUAGCCGGCCUGAGAGGGUGACCGGCCACAUUGGGACUGAGAUACGGCCCAGACUCCUACGGGAGGCAGCAGUGGGGAAUAUUGCACAAUGGGCGGAAGCCUGAUGCAGCAACGCCGCGUGCGGGAUGACGGCCUUCGGGUUGUAAACCGCUUUCGCCUGUGACGAAGCGUGGGUGACGGUAAUGGGUAAAGAAGCACCGGCUAACUACGUG